UACGUAGGGCGCAAGCGUUAUCCGGAAUUAUUGGGCGUAAAGAGCUCGUAGGCGGUUUGUCGCGUCUGCCGUGAAAGUCUGGGGCUCAACUCCGGAUCUGCGGUGGGUACGGGCAGACUAGAAUUCGGUAGGGGAGACUGGAAUUCCUGGUGUAGCGGUGAAAUGCGCAGAUAUCAGGAGGAACACCGGUGGCGAAGGCGGGUCUCUGGGCAGUAACUGACGCUGAGGAGCGAAAGCGUGGGGAGCGAACAGG
rnacentral:rRNA from 1 species